GAGAGUAAAAAAAAAAAACAUGCCUUCCGCUAUUUGGGCUAGCGGAAACUCUAAAAAAAAAAUUCGGAUCACAUUGCCCAAUACACAUCGGCUAGUUCAACUAGCGUACGAAUCAUUUCCCAGAAUCCCCUGCGAUUUCUUCUUCAAUUAAAUCCUCCAUCCUCUGCUGAUGCGAAGAAGAUGCUGCAACCCCCAAGCGAUUUCUUCAAUUAAAUCCUCCUAUUUCACUGCUGAUGCGAAGAACAUGCUGCGAUAAUCUGUAAAGCCUCCAUCAUCCUCUGCUGCGAUACCAAACCCUGAUGCGAUUUCUUCUUCGAGCGAAUCCGUCAUCCUCUGCUGCGAUAAUGUGUAAAGCCUCCCUCAUCCUUCAAUUCAGAUAAUUUGUAAAGCCUCCCUCCUGCUGCGAAAACCAAACCCACUGGCGAUUUCAAUUUCGAGCGAAUCCUAUAAACCAAACCCUCCUUUGUGUCCGACUGGCGAUUUCUCCUUUGUGUCCGACUGGCGAUUUUGAAUACAGAUAUCAAAUACACCUCUUUCCCCUCUUCACUCCAAUCCAAUCCAAUCCUCUGAUCCUCUUCAAUUCAGGUAACUUUUGAUCAAUUUAGAUUUUAUUUCAACUGGCGAUUUUGUUUUGUUGUUAUUCAAUUGAUUAAUAUGGUACUGAUUAGUUAACUUGUUUUGUAUCUAAUGUAUGUCAUUUAUUUGGAGUGUUAUGUAUGAACCUUGUUGGCUUGAAACACUGAAUUUUCAUGGUUUAUCAUGUAGAAAUGGUUGUAAAGGUGGAUGACAUUGUCAGGUUUGGAAGCUGUAUUUGAUAGGGUUUUUACUGGUACGAAUAAUUAUUGACAUGUAAUGCAGGGUUUAUACAUAUUUUGCUAAGGUUAUGUUUUCUUUGGAGGUGCUAUAUCAUUUUUCCAUAUUGAUCCAUACUCAUUUUCCUGAAGCCAUAUCUGGAUAAUAGCCUAUGUUACAAUUAGAAUUUUCUCUCAGUUAUUUAGGUUAUCACAUUAUCGGCAUAUAGAGUGUAAGGCAUUUGGUUUCGCAUUGAUCGUAUGCAGACAUACCAUUAAAUAGGUUGGAAUAUUGCAUCUUGUGCUACAGUUAGUCUGCAGUCAGGGUUUAGUUUUAAAUUUCUUCUUGUGUUUGUUGCCUACCAGCUUUGGAUGUAGCUGUACUUGUCUAUGUUAUAUGGUAUGUAUCUGAUUUGGGAAUAUAUGGGUUUGUGCUUGUGAAAUCAUUAGCCAGUCAUGUAGCAAAUAACAGAGAACUUGGUAUACCCUGUUUUGCAAAUUUUAUUUGUUAGGCAUGCUAUGUCAGUUUUGAAUAGGC
rnacentral:lncRNA from 1 species